UGGACCCCGCGCCGCGUUCUCGCGAGACUGCCGGGCCGCACCACCCACUGGGCGGGCCCGCCGCCACUCAGCUGAUGAGGACUUCCGGCCCCGCCCCGGAAACAGGACGGGGCGUCUGACAAGGUUCCUGGGUUGGUUAACGCCGUGUGUCACCCGCUGAGUUUUCAGAAAGAGAAAGGAGCCCAGCGCCCCGAGGCUCACUUCUAACUGGCUGCGACCGGGGCGGGCUCCUGAGGCUGGCUUGGCCUUCCCUCCUUGGGGCCUGGGACAAGGUUUCUGAACCGCGUUAUUGGUCACCCCGGUGGCCCUGUCCUGCCGGUCUGGCCUGUACCCUGUAGGAUGUUCAGCAGUUCCCUGGUCUCUGCUGUCCCCCUAGAUACCUGCCUCAGCCUCACCAGCCCUGGUUGUGACAACCAAGAGUGUCCCCAGAAGUCCGCUAAAGGACCCUUGGAGGCCUCACGUCCUGUUGAGAACAAGUGACCAGGCUGCACCCUGUCUCGGCCUUGGCAGAGAUGCCAGACCUCCCGUGGUCAGUGGGCUGGCAUCUGGAGGCCCAGCUGUCCUCCCACAAGCCUUUGUGACCCACCAGGCAAAGGUCCCGGAUUCGCAGUGACAGAGUUCUUAGGUGUCUUCUUCCUCACCGUGCCCCUGCAUUUAGGACAGUGCUUGACAUCUCCUGGAGUGGCAGUGUCUUCCAACAGCAGCCCCAGCAAGGCUUUAGUAAUUGAGAUCCACAGCUCCAGGGAUUCAAAUGAAGACAUCUGCAGCAGUCAGGUGUUCACCUACAGGAGGCGUGGGGGAGAAGGAAAAGAAAUAGUGAAAGAAGAUGACCUGCUUCCUCCUAGUGCAACUGGUGCAAGAUGGUUAAAACUUACAGGAAAGAUCAAUAGAGACAAGUACAACGGAGAACUGAAGCACAGAUAUAAAAUACCUCAACCCAUGCCAAUAAAGGGGUUUCCAGUCCAUGAGGGAAAGGAUGAAUUGUUCAUAAAUUCUGUUGGAAAAAGCAACGACAUGGGGAAACAGGCUUCAUAUUUUUUACUGACAAAAUUUACAGAUGGAUAAAUAUUGACGAAACCAGCAAUACAAAAACAUUAGGGGAAAAUUGGCAAAUACGAAAUCUUUGAGAGGGGAUCUUUUUAAAGGCUAAAACAAGUUAGAAGCUAUUUAUUGAAAAAGUUGAUUUGUCUACGUAAAGACUUAAGACAACGUGUAUACAAUGUUUUGGUUCAAAAACAACAUGUAUAAAAAAUAAUCUCAAUUAACUGAAAAAAAACCCCACGUACCUUCAAUACAUAGAACAAAGUUAAUGUCUUUAUUGUAUGAAGCAUUCUUCAGAACUUCAUGGAACUGCAUGCAGCUGAUCCAUGAGAGUGGCACAGAAGCAGCCAGGGCCUUCAGAGCAGAGCUUAAUCCAUGGUGCCUUGGGUUGAGUUGCAGCUGGCUGGCUACACUCAAGGGCCAGAAGUGGGUAUGUGACCUAAGCCUGUCCAAUCAUCAGCGGCUCAUCUGUCAAGCUUCACUGAUUGGUUCAGAGAUGGACAUGUGACCCAAGUUGGUGAGCACAAUAAGCCGUACUCUCUUGGAUGGCUGGGUCUGUGACCUAAGCUGUGUAACCAGCAGCAUCCCAUCUACAGAGCUGCAGGGCCUGCUGCAGGGACGGAAUAUCCAAGUUAGCUAGAGCUAAAGCCAGGAUUGAUUCUGGAAUGUUCAGAAGGGAGAGAUUCAUCUUCUACUGAGAUUAAUGGAAGUUUUGUUAUUGCUGCUGCUGCUGCUGCUACUGCUGAGGUUUUUAUUUUGAGCUUAGUGUUAUAAAGACAAGCCUGGAGUUGUCGGGUCAUUUUGUGAAACAAACCUCCCUACAGUGACUGGAAACACACCUCUCUUCUCUUCGGAGAGCUAUGGCAAAGGUCUACAAAACAAAACAAAAAGAUAGCUUACCAGUCUGGAUUCUAGACAGCCUUAAGUCAUUCUCUCCAGGGUGCUUCAUCAUGAGUUCCUAAAUUCUCUUUUUGAGUGAGCAGAUCUGAUAAUGACUUGUAAUUGAAAAAGUCUUGGCCAAUUCAAGGAGUACUGUACAUGCAUGUGCAUACACAAACAGAAAAGAAAAUGGUAUAUGUGCUUUUAUGAAACAAAGUACACCAGUAAUUUUAUUUGUUUGUUUGUUUGUUUAUUUAUUUAUUUGGAUAAAGGGACUUGCUAUGUAGCCCAGGCUAGCCUCAAACUCAUAGCAAUCCUCCUGACUCAGCC
ensembl:lincRNA